GGCUAAUCCUGGUCGGACAUCAGGAGGUUAGUGCAAUGGCAUAAGCCAGCUUGACUGCGAGCGUGACGGCGCGAGCAGGUGCGAAAGCAGGUCAUAGUGAUCCGGUGGUUCUGAAUGGAAGGGCCAUCGCUCAACGGAUAAAAGGUACUCCGGGGAUAACAGGCUGAUACCGCCCAAGAGUUCAUAUCGACGGCGGUGUUUGGCACCUCGAUGUCGGCUCAUCACAUCCUGGGGCUGAAGUAGGUCCCAAGGGUAUGGCUGUUCGCCAUUUAAAGUGGUACGCGAGCUGGGUUUAGAACGUCGUGAGACAGUUCGGUCCCUAUCUGCCGUGGGCGCUGGAGAACUGAGGGGGGCUGCUCCUAGUACGAGAGGACCGGAGUGGACGCAUCACUGGUGUUCGGGUUGUCAUGCCAAUGGCACUGCCCGGUAGCUAAAUGCGGAAGAGAUAAGUGCUGAAAGCAUCUAAGCACGAAACUUGCCCCGAGA
rnacentral:rRNA from 1 species